GACGAACGCUGGCGGCGUGCUUAACACAUGCAAGUCGAACGGAAAGGCCCUGCUUUUGUGGGGUGCUCGAGUGGCGAACGGGUGAGUAACACGUGAGUAACCUGCCCUUGACUUUGGGAUAACUUCAGGAAACUGGGGCUAAUACCGGAUAGGAGCUCCUGCUGCAUGGUGGGGGUUGGAAAGUUUCGGCGGUUGGGGAUGGACUCGCGGCUUAUUAGCUUGUUGGUGGGGUAGUGGCUUACCAAGGCUUUGACGGGUAGCCGGCCUGAGAGGGUGACCGGCCACAUUGGGACUGAGAUACGGCCCAGACUCCUACGGGAGGCAGCAGUGGGGAAUAUUGCACAAUGGGCGGAAGCCUAAUGCAGCAACGCCGCGUGCGGGAUGACGGCCUUCGGGUUGUAAACCGCUUUCGCCUGUGACGAAGCGUGAGUGACGGUAAUGGGUAAAGAAGCACCGGCUAACUACGUG
rnacentral:rRNA from 1 species